GCCUUAUUUACAGAACAAAAGCACCUGCUAGAUAAAAUCCUUCAGGUCAGUUGGCCCAUCUCUGGACUCCAAAGGUAGAAAUACAAAAUGGCCUUUCUCUGGUACUUGCAGAGAAGUCUGAUAACAUA